rnacentral:rRNA from 1 species
UGCGUAGGCGGUCCGCUAAGUUAGAUGUGAAAACUCUGGGCUCAACCCAGAGCCUGCAUCUAAUACUGACGGGCUAGAGUUCUGGAGGGGGUAGCGGAAUUCCUGGUGUAGCGGUGAAAUGCGUAGAUAUCAGGAGGAACACCGGUGGCGAAGGCGGCUACCUGGACAGAGUCUGACGCUGAGGCACGAAAGCUAGGGGAGGCAAACA